GAUGAACGCUGGCGGCGUGCUUAACACAUACAAGUCGAACGAUGAAGCUCAGCUUGCUGGGUGGAUUAGUGGCGAACGGGUGAGUAACACGUGAGUAACCUGCCCUUAACUCUGGGAUAAGCCUGGGAAACUAGGUCUAAUACCGGAUAGGAGCGCCUACCGCAUGGUGGGUGUUGGAAAGAUUUAUCGGUUUUGGAUGGACUCGCGGCCUAUCAGCUUGUUGGUGAGGUAAUGGCUCACCAAGGCGACGACGGGUAGCCGGCCUGAGAGGGUGACCGGCCACACUGGGACUGAGACACGGCCCAGACUCCUACGGGAGGCAGCAGUGGGGAAUAUUGCACAAUGGGCGAAAGCCUGAUGCAGCGACGCCGCGUGAGGGAUGACGGCCUUCGGGUUGUAAACCUCUUUCAGUAGGGAAGAAGCGAAAGUGACGGUACCUGCAGAAGAAGCACCGGCUAACUACGUG
rnacentral:rRNA from 1 species